UACGAAGGGUGCAAGCGUUACUCGGAAUUACUGGGCGUAAAGCGUGCGUAGGUGGUUUGUUAAGUCUGAUGUGAAAGCCCUGGGCUCAACCUGGGAAUUGCAUUGGGUACUGGCAGGCUAGAGUGCGGUAGAGGGUAGUGGAAUUCCCGGUGUAGCAGUGAAAUGCGUAGAGAUCGGGAGGAACAUCUGUGGCGAAGGCGACUACCUGGACCAGCACUGACACUGAGGCACGAAAGCGUGGGGAGCAAACAGG
rnacentral:rRNA from 1 species